rnacentral:rRNA from 1 species
UACGUAGGGUGCGAGCGUUAAUCGGAAUUACUGGGCGUAAAGUGUGCGCAGGCGGCAGAGCAAGUCGAGUGUGAAAGCCCCGGGCUUAACUUGGGAAUUGCGCUCGAAACUACUUUGCUGGAGUGUGGCAGAGGAAGGUGGAAUUCCACGUGUAGCGGUGAAAUGCGUAGAGAUGUGGAGGAACACCUAUGGCGAAAGCAGCUCUCUGGGAACGGUACUGACGGCUGAGACGGCGAAAGCGUGGGGAGCGAACAGGAUUAAGAUACCCGGUGUAAGUCGAGAC